rnacentral:rRNA from 1 species
UGGGGAAUCUUGGACAAUGGGCGCAAGCCUGAUCCAGCCAUGCCGCGUGAGUGAUGAAGGCCCUAGGGUUGUAAAACUCUUUCGUGGGGGACGAUAAUGACGGUACCCCAAGAAGAAGCUCCGGCUAACUUCGUGCCAGCAGCCGCGGUAAUACGAAGGGGGCUAGCGUUGUUCGGAUUUACUGGGCGUAAAGCGCGUGUAGGCGGGCUGGAAAGUUGGGGGUGAAAUCCCGAGGCUCAACCUCGGAACUGCCUCCAAAACUUCCAGCCUGGACUCAAGUAGAGGCAAGUGGAAUUGCGAGUGUAGAGGUGAAAUUCGUAGAUAUUCGCAGGAACACCAGUGGCGAAGGCGACUUGCUGGACUUGUAGUGACGCUGAGACGCGAAAGCGUGGGGAGCAAACAGGAUUAGAUACCCUCGUAGUCCCUGAGCGGGCUGGCAAGGCGCAU